UGGAUUUAAGAAGCUGUCACUGCAGCCAGUUUGUAUAGUCAGUGUGGAGAAGAGGGCCGAGACAGAGCUAGGGCCAGAGCCUGAGCCAGAACCACCCAGAGACAACAUGAGCCAUGUUAACACUGAGAACAGCACGGCAAACAUCUCAACUGUGGCACUGGUGGAAAGCAAUGCCAACCCUGCAGGCCUGCAGCUGGUCAGCACCUACCAAACCAAUCGGGUUGGGGACCCUCUCGACAUUGUAGCCCUGGCAGAGCAAAUCCAAAAGGCAGAUGAAUUUGUUCGUGCCAAUGCCUGUAAUAGACUGACUGUGAUCGCUGAGCAAAUCCAGUAUCUCCAGGAGAAAGCGAGAAAGGUCCUGGAAGAGGCCAAGAGGGAUGCAGAUCUCCAUCACAUUGCCUGCAAUGUUGUGAAGAAGCCUGGCACUGUGUAUUUCAUGUACAGACGGGACUCUGGGCAGGAAUACUUCUCCAUCCUUUCUCCAAAGGAGUGGGGACAGAGCUGCCCACAUGAGUUCCGUGGUGCUUACAAGCUGCAGCAUGACAUGUCAUGGACACCGUACGAGGAGAUUGAGAAAAGAGAUUCAGAAAUCAGUCUCAUCGACAAACUCCUGACCCAACAGCAGACACUGCCACAGAGCACAGAGCCCAACUUCCGGGGGCUUUACCCAAUGUUAUUACCUGCCAGCAAGAACAGUCUCGAGCAUUCCACACGUCCUGAAAAGAAAGCUUUGAUUCCGGAAAAUGCCAAGUUUCCUGAUGACCACACGGGAUCAUUUUAAAACUCAAGAGAACAAGGAGGAACAGGAUAGAACUUCAAGCCGGUUGAUGCCCAACAGCAAGAACACGAUACAGAAAUGGGACGAAAGGUCGAAGAAAAUACAACUGUUCGGACAUCAGGGAAAUACUGAGCCAGUUAUAAAAAUAAUUUGUUUCCCACAUGUACGCCCAAUCAAAUCAGGUGAAUUAAAAAAGAAAACUGCAAACGUU